rnacentral:rRNA from 1 species
UACGGAGGGAGCUAGCGUUGUUCGGAAUUACUGGGCUUAAAGCGCACGUAGGCGGCAUCGUAAGUGUCGGGUGAAAUCCCACGGCUCACCCGUGGAACUGCCCGGCAGACUGCGAUGCUCGAGUGUGGUAGGGGAGAACGGAACUCCUGGUGGAGCGGUGAAAUGCGUAGAUAUCAGGAGGAACACCGGUGGCGAAGGCGGUUCUCUGGUCCACAACUGACGCUGAGGUGCGAAAGCUAGGGGAGCAAACGGG